GACGAACGCUGGCGGCGUGCUUAACACAUGCAAGUCGAACGAUGAACUUGGAGCUUGCUCUGGGGGAUUAGUGGCGAACGGGUGAGUAACACGUGAGUAACCUGCCCUGGACUCUGGGAUAACUUCGAGAAAUCGGAGCUAAUACCGGAUAGGACCUUGCACCGCAUGGUGUGGGGUGGAAAGUUUUUCGGUUUGGGAUGGACUCGCGGCCUGUCAGCUUGUUGGUGAGGUAAUGGCUCACCAAGGGGUCGACGGGUAGCCGGCCUGAGAGGGUGACCGGCCACACUGGGACUGAGACACGGCCCAGACUCCUACGGGAGGCAGCAGUGGGGAAUAUUGCACCAUGGGCGCAAGCCUGAUGCAGCAACGCCGCGUGCGGGAUGACGGCCUUCGGGUUGUAAACCGCUUUUAGUAGGGAAGAAGCCUUCGGGUGACGGUACCUGCAGAAAAAGGACCGGCUAACUACGUGCCAGCCGCCGCAGUAACAC
rnacentral:rRNA from 1 species